rnacentral:lncRNA from 1 species
UCGGAUGCAAUGAUGCUUGAUUAAGGCAAGUCCAUUAGGUCGCGGAUUGUAUGCCCUAGAGAAGUUCAAUGUGAUUUGAUACUUCUCACCAAAUUUGUCCAUGGUUUAGUUCUUGAAUGGAGAACAAAAUGCAGGGAUCCCAUAUCUAUAGAUGAUAUUGGUGGCUGCAAAAGUGGGUAGAGCAAUAGGAGCGGUAAGCAAAGAAAGCGGUUGUCGAUAAAACUCUAUUCAAAUUCAAGGUAGUCUGCUUCGACUUUGAAUCACAAGGAGCGAUUGUGAGGAAUCACCAUUCUAAAAAUAGUUCAAUCAUUUAAAUUUUCAUUCUAUGAUUGCUUUGCUCCCGCAAAGACAAAGGAGAUUUAUAGAGACUUGGCCUUGAUUUUUCCAACUAAAGUUUGAUAGAAGAAUAGCAUGCAAUGCGCAUGAUUUUCAAUAGCUUUCACAUUUGCGGUAGAUUGAAUACUCACCCAACUACUACGUAGAUUCGCUAGCGACUAUAGCUGUUAUCCCCCCUACUUACUUCAAUUAAAGCUCACAACUAUGUACUACUGAAUGGCUCGUUCCGACCGAUACGUACCAUGACUACUAAUUCAAAGUCUUCUUG